rnacentral:misc_RNA from 1 species
GUGAAGCUUGGGAGUCCCUCUUAACCGGAGAAGGCCCAUACCAAACUAUCUUUACACCCUAGUGCAUUUGUCCCUUUUUUACCUUUAACCCUUUUGCAUUCGAAAAGGUUGUUGUGACAAUCAUUUGAUAAACGAAAGAA